rnacentral:rRNA from 1 species
UGCAGCGACGCCGCGUGAGGGAUGAAGGCCUUCGGGUUGUAAACCUCUUUCAGCAGGGACGAAGCGCAAGUGACGGUACCUGCAGAAGAAGCACCGGCUAACUACGUGCCAGCAGCCGCGGUAAUACGUAGGGUGCGAGCGUUGUCCGGAAUUACUGGGCGUAAAGAGUUCGUAGGCGGUUUGUCGCGUCGUCUGUGAAAACCCAUCGCUCAACGAUGGGCCGGCAGGCGAUACGGGCAGACUUGAGUACUGCAGGGGAGACUGGAAUUCCUGGUGUAGCGGUGAAAUGCGCAGAUAUCAGGAGGAACACCGGUGGCGAAGGCGGGUCUCUGGGCAGUAACUGACGCUGAGGAACGAAAGCGUGGGUAGCAAACAGGAUUAGAUACCCUGGUAGUCCACGCCGUAAACGGUGGGCGCUAGGUGUGGGUUCCUUCCACGGGAUCUGUGCCGUAGCUAACGCAUUAAGCGCCCCGCCUGGGGAGUACGGCCGCAAGGCUAAAACUCAAAGGAAUUGACGGGGGCCCGCACAAGCGGCGGAGCAUGUGGAUUAAUUCGAUGCAACGCGAAGAACCUUACCUGGGUUUGACAUAUACUGGAAAGCUGCAGAGAUGUAGCCCCCCUUGUGGCCGG